CCUACGGGAGGCCGCAGUAGGGCAUAUUGCUCAAUGGUGGAAACCCUGCCGCAGCACCGCCGCGUGGAGGAUGAAGGUUUUCGGAUUGUUACCUCCUUUUGUUAGAGAAGAUAAUGACGGUAUCUAACGAAUCAGCCCCGUCUCACUCCGUGCCAGCAGCCUCGGUAAUACGGCGGGUGCAAGCGUUACUCGGAAUCACUGGGCGUAAAGAGCGCGUAGGCGGGAUAGCAAGUCAGCUGUGAAAUCCUAUGGCUUAACCAUAGAACUGCAUUUGAACCUGUUAUUCUAGAGUAUGGGAGAGGUAGGUGGAAUUCGUGGUGGAGGGGUAAAAUCCGUAGAGAUCAAGAGGAAUACUCAUUGCGAAGGCGACCUGCUAGAACAUAACUGACGCUGAUGCGCGAAAGCGUGGGGAGCAAACAGGAGUAGAUACCCCGGUAGUC
rnacentral:rRNA from 1 species